rnacentral:rRNA from 1 species
GGGUUGUGAGGUUAAGCGACUAAGCGUACACGGUGGAUGCCCUGGCAGUCAGAGGCGAUGAAGGACGUGCUAAUCUGCGAUAAGCGUCGGUAAGGUGAUAUGAACCGUUAUAACCGGCGAUUUCCGAAUGGGGAAACCCAGUGUGAUUCGUCACACUAUCAUUAACUGAAUCCAUAGGUUAAUGAGGCGAACCGGGGGAACUGAAACAUCUAAGUACCCCGAGGAAAAGAAAUCAACCGAGAUUCCCCCAGUAGCGGCGAGCGAACGGGGAGCAGCCCAGAGCCUGAAUCAGUGUGUGUGUUAGUGGAAGCGUCUGGAAAGGCGUGCGAUACAGGGUGACAGCCCCGUACACAAAAAUGCACAUACUGUGAGCUCGAUGAGUAGGGCGGGACACGUGGUAUCCUGUCUGAAUAUGGGGGGACCAUCCUCCAAGGCUAAAUACUCCUGACUGACCGAUAGUGAACCAGUACCGUGAGGGAAAGGCGAAAAGAACCCCGGCGAGGGGAGUGAAAAAGAACCUGAAACCGUGUACGUACAAGCAGUGGGAGCACGCUUAGGCGUGUGACUGCGUACCUUUUGUAUAAUGGGUCAGCGACUUAUAUUCUGUAGCAAGGUUAACCGAAUAGGGGAGCCGAAGGGAAACCGAGUCUUAACUGGGCGUUAAGUUGCAGGGUAUAGACCCGAAACCCGGUGAUCUAGCCAUGGGCAGGUUGAAGGUUGGGUAACACUAACUGGAGGACCGAACCGACUAAUGUUGAAAAAUUAGCGGAUGACUUGUGGCUGGGGGUGAAAGGCCAAUCAAACCGGGAGAUAGCUGGUUCUCCCCGAAAGCUAUUUAGGUAGCGCCUCGUGAAUUCAUCUCCGGGGGUAGAGCACUGUUUCGGCAAGGGGGUCAUCCCGACUUACCAACCCGAUGCAAACUGCGAAUACCGGAGAAUGUUAUCACGGGAGACACACGGCGGGUGCUAACGUCCGUCGUGAAGAGGGAAACAACCCAGACCGCCAGCUAAGGUCCCAAAGUCAUGGUUAAGUGGGAAACGAUGUGGGAAGGCCCAGACAGCCAGGAUGUUGGCUUAGAAGCAGCCAUCAUUUAAAGAAAGCGUAAUAGCUCACUGGUCGAGUCGGCCUGCGCGGAAGAUGUAACGGGGCUAAACCAUGCACCGAAGCUGCGGCAGCGACGCUUAUGCGUUGUUGGGUAGGGGAGCGUUCUGUAAGCCUGUGAAGGUGUACUGUGAGGUAUGCUGGAGGUAUCAGAAGUGCGAAUGCUGACAUAAGUAACGAUAAAGCGGGUGAAAAGCCCGCUCGCCGGAAGACCAAGGGUUCCUGUCCAACGUUAAUCGGGGCAGGGUGAGUCGACCCCUAAGGCGAGGCCGAAAGGCGUAGUCGAUGGGAAACAGGUUAAUAUUCCUGUACUUGGUGUUACUGCGAAGGGGGGACGGAGAAGGCUAUGUUGGCCGGGCGACGGUUGUCCCGGUUUAAGCGUGUAGGCUGGUUUUCCAGGCAAAUCCGGAAAAUCAAGGCCGAGGCGUGAUGACGAGGCACUACGGUGCUGAAGCAACAAAUGCCCUGCUUCCAGGAAAAGCCUCUAAGCAUCAGGUAACAUCAAAUCGUACCCCAAACCGACACAGGUGGUCAGGUAGAGAAUACCAAGGCGCUUGAGAGAACUCGGGUGAAGGAACUAGGCAAAAUGGUGCCGUAACUUCGGGAGAAGGCACGCUGAUACGUAGGUGAAGCGACUUGCUCGUGGAGCUGAAAUCAGUCGAAGAUACCAGCUGGCUGCAACUGUUUAUUAAAAACACAGCACUGUGCAAACACGAAAGUGGACGUAUACGGUGUGACGCCUGCCCGGUGCCGGAAGGUUAAUUGAUGGGGUUAGCGCAAGCGAAGCUCUUGAUCGAAGCCCCGGUAAACGGCGGCCGUAACUAUAACGGUCCUAAGGUAGCGAAAUUCCUUGUCGGGUAAGUUCCGACCUGCACGAAUGGCGUAAUGAUGGCCAGGCUGUCUCCACCCGAGACUCAGUGAAAUUGAACUCGCUGUGAAGAUGCAGUGUACCCGCGGCAAGACGGAAAGACCCCGUGAACCUUUACUAUAGCUUGACACUGAACAUUGAGCCUUGAUGUGUAGGAUAGGUGGGAGGCUUUGAAGUGUGGACGCCAGUCUGCAUGGAGCCGACCUUGAAAUACCACCCUUUAAUGUUUGAUGUUCUAACGUGGACCCGUAAUCCGGGUUGCGGACAGUGUCUGGU